AACGAACGCUGGCGGCAGGCCUAACACAUGCAAGUCGAGCGAGCAUUUCGGUGCUAGCGGCGGACGGGUGAGUAACGCGUGGGAACGUGCCCUUUUCUGCGGAAUAGUCCUGGGAAACUGGGGGUAAUACCGCAUACGCCCUUUUGGGGAAAGAUUUAUCGGAGAAGGAUCGGCCCGCGUUGGAUUAGGUAGUUGGUGGGGUAAUGGCCCACCAAGCCGACGAUCCAUAGUUGGUUUGAGAGGAUGAUCAGCCACACUGGGACUGAGACACGGCCCAGACUCCUACGGGAGGCAGCAGUGGGGAAUCUUAGACAAUGGGGGCAACCCUGAUCGAGCCAUGCCGCGUGAGUGAUGAAGGCCUUAGGGUUGUAAAGCUCUUUCAGCUGGGAAGAUAAUGACGGUACCAGCAGAAGAAGCCCCGGCUAACUCCGUG
rnacentral:rRNA from 1 species